UGCCCCAUAGCCAAGUGGUAAGGCAAUGGAUUCUGACUCCAUCAUUCGCAAGUUCGAAUCUUGCUGGGGUAA
rnacentral:tRNA from 1 species